rnacentral:rRNA from 1 species
ACCCGCUGAACUUAAGCAUAUCAGUAAGCGGAGGAAAAGAAACUAACUAGGAUUCCCCGAGUAGCGGCGAGCGAAAGGGGAAGAGCCCAGCGCCGAAGCCCGCGGCCUCUGGUCGCAGUGCAAUGUGGCGUUUCGGCGGCGUCUCGCCGCGGCAUCUCUGGCACGCGUACCUCUGAAUGGGUCUGCCCGUGGCGGGUGUCAGGCCUCUACUUGCCAAACGAGUUGCCGCGGCACGGCGUCGUCGCGGAGUCGGGUUGCUUGAGAGUGCAGCCCAAAGUGGGUGGUAAGCUCCAUCUAAGGCUAAAUACCUAGUGCGAGACCGAUAGCAAACAAGUACCGUGAGGGAAAGUUGCAAAGAACUUUGAAAAGAGAGUUCAAGAGUACGUGAAACCGUUCAGAGGCAAACGGACGGAACUGGGCGAGUUCGACGCCGCCAUUCAGCCGUGAGCCCUCUCGGGGGCGCGCGGUGCACUUGGCGGCGCCGGAGCACGACGACCGCCUGUCUGGGGCGCCUGAAGCCCGGCGGCAAGGUGGCGACGCGUUCGCGCGUCGUGUUACAGGCCGCCGUGGCGUUGGCUGACCUGGCGGGCGAGGAGCGCCUGCGGUGCACUCCCUGCGCGGGAGCGGCCCGACGUGGUGGGCUUGCGGACGCCGGCGACGAACUGCUCGCAGUUUGACGCCGCGCGCUCCGUCUGUCGCGUCGCGCGGUGCCGCGCUGCACCCAGGGUCCGGGUCGUGUGGUUCCUGGCACUCCGUCCGACCCGUCUUGAAACACGGACCAAGGAGUUGAGCACGUGCGCGAGUCGAUGGGCCUGACGAACCCCAGUGGCGCAGCUAAGGCAAAACGGGCGUGAUCCGGCACCUGGCGGUGCUGGCGCAACGCCGGCCCGCAGCCGACUCGUUGCGAGUGGCUGCGGCGCAAGAGCGUGCGUGCUCAGACCCGAAAGGUGGUGAACUAUGCUUGAGCAGGGCGAAGCCAGAGGAAACUCUGGUGGAGGCUCGCAGCGAUCCUGACGUGCAAAUCGGUCGUCAAACUUGAGCAUAGGGGCGAAAGACUAAUCGAACCGCCUAGUAGCUGGUUCCCUCCGAAGUUUCCCUCAGGAUAGCUGGCACUCGGGAUAAAUGGUUUUAUCCGGUAAAGCGAAUGAUUAGAGGCAUUGGGGACGAAACGUCCUCAACCUAUUCUCAAACUUUAAAUGGGUAAGAGGCGCGACCCUUCCUGAUCGGGGUCGCGUGCUCGAACAGAGAGUGCCCAGUGGGCCGUUUUUGGUAAGCAGAACUGGCGCUGUGGGAUGAACCAAACGCUCGGUUAGGGUGCCUAACGCACGCUCAUGAGAUACCACAAAAGGUGUUGGUUGAUAUAGACAGCAGGACGGUGGCCAUGGAAGUCGGAAUCCGCUAAGGAGUGUGUAACAACUCACCUGCCGAAUCAACUAGCCCUGAAAAUGGAUGGCGCUGGAGCGUGCGACCCAUACCGGGCCGUCGGGGCAAUGCGUGCGAAAUGCCAGGCCCCGACGAGUAGGAGGGCGUGUCGGUGGCGUUGAAGCGUAGUGCGCGAGCACGCGUGGAGCCGCCUUCAGUGCAGAUCUUGGUGGUAGUAGCAAGUAUACAAAUGAGAACUUUGUAGACCGAAGUGGAGAAGGGUUCCAUGUGAACAGCAGUUGGACAUGGGUCAGUCGGCCCUAAGAGAUCGGAAAAUUCCGUUCUGAACGGGGAGUGAUGAGCUGGCACUGCCCCUGCGUGCGCGCGUGGUGUGCGUCGAUGCCGCCGUCAGAACACCAAACCUGGAAUUGACGGACAAGGAAUUGACGGAUGUCAGUGCGGCGGCUCGGCCGCCACGCGCGCCGCAACAAAAAGGCUGAGAGGUGCGGUGAGUGCAAGGUCGCCCCGAUGCGAUCGAAAGGGAAUCGGGUUAAUAUUCCCGAACCUGGCAGUGGAGAUUGGGCCCUCGGGCCCCAGUGCGGUAACGCAACCGAACUCGGAGACGCCAGCGUCGAUCCCGGGAAGAGUUCUCUUUUCUUUGUUAGGAGCGGACUCCCUGGAAUUGGCUUGUCCAGAGAUAGGGACGUUGCAUCCGUAAAGCGUCGCGCCUCACGCGGCGUCCGGUGCAUCGGCGUUGGCCCUUGAAAAUCCGAGGAAGGCAGUGUAAUUUUCACUCCAGGCCGUACCCGAAUCCGCAGCAGGUCUCCAAGGUGCACAGCCUCUGGUCGAUAGAACAAUGUAGGUAAGGGAAGUCGGCAAAUCCGAUCCGUAACUUCGGGAUAAGGAUUGGCUCUGAGGUGCGGGCUGCUUCGGGUCGCGGCAAGAAGCGGGCCGCGCGUUGGCUGGACUGGGCGCGCCCUCGGGUGCGCUCGGACCGUCGCCUGCGCGCGUCCGUGGGAGGCCGUGGCUUUCGCCGGCGUCGGCCUCGGUCGGCGUCGGCUUCGUUCGGCCUAAACGCACAGCACAGAACUGGCGCGGACUCUGGGAACACGACUGUCUAAUUAAAACAAAGCAUCGC